rnacentral:lncRNA from 1 species
AAAUAGAUGGUAUAGCCUCUUGCUCCUAGGUUACAAAUCUGUACAGCAUGUUACUGUACCGAAUACUGUAGGCAAUUGUAACACAAUGGCAAGUAUCUGUGUAUCUAAACAUAGAAAAAGUACAGCAGAAAUAUGUUAUAAAAAAAUUUUUUAAAAGGGUACAUCUAAUAGGACUCUUACCAUGAAUGGAGCUUGCAGGACCGGAGGUUGCUUUGAGUCAGUGAGUGAGAGCAACUUGGAGCUCUGUUGGAUUGGCGAUCACAUGCUUCCACCAAGAGAGACAAAAUAGUUACACUGAAUUGGAAGUUGAGACUAUACUGCCUGAAUAUAUAGGGCUUCUCAUACCACUGAACUAACAGGAGAAAAAGGGGUUACUGACUGGAGAGAUUGAUCCAGAUUAUCAAGAGGAAAUCUGUUUGCUGCUAUACAAUGCAAUCAAGAAUUACUAUAUCUGGAAUCCAGGAGAUUCUCUGAGGUGCUUCUUGAUACUUCUAUGUCCAAUAGUAAAGGUUAAUGGAAAACUAUAGCACCCCCACCCAAAGCAAGAUGACUGAGUAAUCAUACCCUUUAGGAAUAAAAGUUUGGAGCACUCUGCCAUGUAAAAAAAACUAAGAGCAGCUGAAGUUCUGGCUGAGGGCAAAGUAAAUAGAAAUUUUUUCAACUACUAGUUGAAGAAAAUGGCCAUAGAUAUCAACUACAACCAUGUGAACAAUUAGAGAAACAAGAAUUGUGGUAGCUUUUCAUAUUUUCUCUUUACUUGAUAUGUACAUGUGUUAAUCUGUAUAU